GCCUCGGUAGCUCAGCGGUAGAGCAGGUGACUCUUAAUCACUUGGUCCAAGGUUCAAAUCCUUGCCGGGGCA
rnacentral:tRNA from 1 species